rnacentral:lncRNA from 1 species
GGGUUCAAAUUUUAGACUAUGCAAUUUCUUACAGAUUGCACAGGAAAUCUAGGUUUCAAUUCCCGGAGCUAGCGAUUUAUUCAACAAUUAUGCGAUUACGGAAGAAAUGCUUACAAGGGUUUCUCAACAUGGUGCAAGUAAAUCCGGUCAGGCGUGAUCUUCAUAGGACAUAGGACGGCUCAAAUGAUGCAGUUAGGUGUAGAUUCUCAUAAGACAAGUAUUAUUGUCGGUUAUCGAAUCGUCUUUGUAAUCUUUCUCAUAAUAUCUAAAUAAAUUCCCGACAAAAAAAAAAAAACUAUAUCGAGUGAAAAUAUUCUAAAAUAUAAUAGAGUCGACUCAAAUUUUUAAUUUUUCAAAAAUAAUAAUAAUCUAUUAAUCAUAUCUAGAUUUCAAAUCUUU